UACGUAGGGUGCAAGCGUUGUCCGGAAUUAUUGGGCGUAAAGAGCUUGUAGGCGGUUUGUCGCGUCUGCUGUGAAAUUUCGGGGCUCAACCCCGAACUUGACAGUGGGUACGGGCAGACUAGAGUGUGGUAGGGGAGACUGGAAUUCCUGGUGUAGCGGUGGAAUGCGCAGAUAGUCAGGAGGAACACCGGUGGCGAAGGCGGUUCUCUGGGCCUUACCUGACACUGAGGAGCGAAAGCGUGGGGAGCGAACAGG
rnacentral:rRNA from 1 species